rnacentral:rRNA from 1 species
GUAANUCUUUUAUUNGGGAAAAAUUUUGAUAUUNCCNAAUGAAUAAGAGGUUGCUAACUCUGUGCCAGCAGCAGCGGUAAUACAGAGACCUCAAGCGUUNUCCGGNAUUUAUUGGGCGUAAAGCGUCUGUAGGCGGAAUAAAUAGUCAGAUGUUAAAUUUCAGGGCUCAACUCUGAAACCGCAUUUGAAACGUUUAUUCUAGAGGAUGGUAGAGGCAAGUGGAACUUACGGUGUAGCAGUAAAAUGCGUUGAUACCAUAAGGAACACCAAAGGCGAAGGCAUCUUGCUGGACCAUUUCUGACGCUGAGAGACGAAAGCGUGGGUAGCGAAUGGGAUUAGAUACCCCAGUAGUCCACGCCGUAAACGAUGGAUAUUAGACAUUAGGAGUGUCGACCCUUUUAGUGUCGAAGCUAACGCAUUAAAUAUCCCGCCUGGGAAGUACGGCCGCAAGGCUAAAACUCAAAGGAAUAGACGGGGACCUGCACAAGCGGUGGAGCAUGUGGUUUAAUUCGAUGAUAAGCGAGGAACCUUACCAAGGCUUGAAAUCUCUAGAAUCCCCGAGAAACCGGGGAGUGCCGCAAGGAACUAGAUGACAGGUGCUGCAUGGUUGCCGUCAGCUCGUGCCGUGAGGUGUUCGGUUAAGUCCAGUAACGAGCGCAACCCUUUUCAGAUGUUGAAUUUUUCAUCUGAGACUGCCCGGGUUAACCGGGAGGAAGGCGGGGACGACGUCAAAUCAGCAUGGCCCUUGACGCCUUGGGCUACACACAUGCUACAAUGGGAAGUUACAAAGGGUCGCCAAGCCGAAAGGCGGAGCUAAUCCCACCAAAACUUCUCUCAGUUCGGAUUGAGGGCUGCAACUCGCCCUCAUGAAGUUGGAAUCGCUAGUAAUCGUGAAUCAGCAAUGUCACGGUGAAUACGUUCUCAGGUCUUGCACUCACCGCCCGUC